GUGUGCAACCCCCGCAGUUCUUCAUCUUCUUCUUCAGGUAGUACGCGCUGCAUGCCACCGCUCUGGGCCACACGAAACUGUCGUCCUCCAACGCCCGUAGCUCACCGGUCAGCACUCGCCAUCGAAGGUCCGUGGCCUAGCAGCUGACGCCGAGUGUGGUCUCGCCGCCAAUUAGCCCCUGUUCCGUCAAUCUGUCUUCCCGAUCUCUCAGUCUCUCUUCUUCGAUCCGCCGCGUUCGUGGGUAUAGCUCCGUCGUCGUCCUGCAGACAGUUGUCGCGCCGCCAGUUCUCUCGCAGAUCUCUCUUGCUACCGUCCAUCGCACAGCCAGCCGACCGUUGCCCAGUCUUCAUGGAUGCUGACGACCAUUGCCCAACCACCAUUCACCUCCAUCGUCGCAGAUCUGCCGUUUAGAAUUGAUUUGGAGUUUUCGGAAGUAACUGAGGUGCUGUCCACUUGGUUCGAGACCUUUCCCGACCGGAUUUUGGUAAAGGUAAGAACAAAUCGUCGAAUGACAAGAAGAAUUUUUUACUAAACCUUGGGACUUGAUAUCGCUUUCGCAUAUAUUUUCCUCAUAUUUUCAUGAUUUAGUUUAGGAGUCAAAUAUUUAAAUUCUUUGAUUGUUGUUAUUCAAUUACUCAUUUAAUUCAUUUUUCAAUUGGAGU